AUGCUUGCUUCAGCAGCACAUAUACAAAAAAAUUGGAAUAAUAAAGAGAUUAGCACGGCACUUGUGCAAGUAUAACAUGCAAAUUUGUGAAGCAUGCCAUAAUUUU